UGACUUUGCAGCUGCUGUUAAUAUCAGUUACAAUCAUUCACAGACUGUUUUCUUAGUGAGCUCACUCUUUUGAAUAACAUUUAUUUAGUUGCAAGGGUGGACAUCUGAGUGACCCUCCCAACACUCACUCUGCUGCAAAUGGAUCAGGAUUAGCUUUCGAGGCCCAGAGCUGAAUUGAUUUAUUAUGAUCUGGGCUGGUGUCACAUCCUGGACAUGCACUACCAGCGAUUCAUUUGUAAUCCGACUCCAGGAGAGAGAAAGGGAGAGCAUGACAGGACUAGACUGCAGCGCCUCAGUCAUGUGUCACUGCUGACUUAGGAAAAAUCUAAUGGCACCUUUUACUUCGACCUGUGAUCCAAAAUGGCUGCCAUAUUAGCAUGCCUGCCAACUUUUGAAAAUACAAAAUUGGGAGUUUCAUCAGUCUCACUGGGAGACAGGAGAUCAAGCUCUAUAUUGGGAGUCUCCAGCUGAAAUAAAAGGCUUAUCGGGUUUGUAUUAGGGUCAAGUGACUUUUGAAGUUACAGCUGCAUAGAGACAGUUCACUUUACGUUAUUGUCUUAUAAUGAUUGGUAAACAGCUGUAUUCUUGAUUGUCUUGCAUAAGUUUAAUUACCAAAUGUACCCUUUCACUGCCGCAUUGCUCUGGCCAUAUCAAUCAUCAUGCUUUAACAUAUGGUGUUUCUUUUAGUUACUACACAGUUGUAUUCUACGA